UACAGAGGGUGCAAGCGUUGUUCGGAAUUACUGGGCGUAAAGGGCGCGUAGGCGGUCUUCUAAGUCUUGUGUGAAAUCCCUCGGCUCAACUGAGGAACUGCACGGGAUACUGGAAGACUUGAGUUCGGGAGAGGGAAGCGGAAUUCCAGGUGUAGCGGUGAAAUGCGUAGAUAUCUGGAGGAACACCGGUGGCGAAGGCGGCGUUCUGGACUGCAACUGACACUGAGGAACGAAAGCCAGGGAGCAAACGGG
rnacentral:rRNA from 1 species